ACUUUGCUGGACAAUUUAAGCAAUUGUCUCAAGAACCUGAAAAUUCAGGUGACUCAUGGGAAUGUGAGUAUAACAUUCUUGCAUAUUUGCUAUUUUGUAGAAAUGAAGUUGGAAAUAAGCUGGUAUGGAGUUAAGAGAUCAAUGGAUUUUCUUAAAUCUUGCAACAUUCUGAUCUCCAUGUUGAUCACUGACAGCACACAAAUAGCCAGACAUAUGAGAGAGAAUUGUCCAAGUAUUACCCACUACUUUGACCUUUGCAUUUGACAAAAAAAGUGACCAAAGUCCCGACCAAACUUGCAAAAUGUUUUGGAUGUGAGUCUUUAUCGAGCUGGAUAAGACCUUGUUCCAACCAUUUGUACUGGAGUGUUACAUCAACACCCUCUGGUAACGGAAAUGUGAAUGUAGCUAAGUUCAAGUCUUUCCUUGGUCAUGUCAAAAACCAACACAGAGGAUUUUCAAAGCCUUUAUUUGACAAACGUGCUCAUGAUUCAAACAUAAAACCAUGCAAAUGGCUAAAUGAAGAUUCUAUAUCAUACAAUAAAAUGUAUGCAGCUUUAACUAAACCAAGGUUGAUUGCUGGAAUCAUGAAAGCUUCUCCAAUGUCUCGAACAAGUGCAUUGGAGGGAUUUCACUCAGUUCUUAACCAGUUUGCACCCAAAAUGAUAAGCUACUCUUUUCCUGGGAUGUUCUGCAGGCAUAUCCUUGCUGUAACUCACUUCAACAGAAAUUUGGACAGGGAUAAUCAAGAGGUUAAUGGAG